GGUUAAGUGACUAAGCGUACACGGUGGAUGCCUAGGCAGUCAGAGGCGAUGAAGGGCGUGCUAAUCUGCGAAAAGCGUCGGUAAGGUGAUAUGAACCGUUACAACCGGCGAUACCCGAAUGGGGAAACCCAGUGUGUUUCGACACACUAUCAUGUCAUGAAUACAUAGUGGCAUGAGGCGAACCGGGGGAACUGAAACAUCUAAGUACCCCGAGGAAAAGAAAUCAACCGAGAUUCCCCCAGUAGCGGCGAGCGAACGGGGAGGAGCCCAGAACCUGAAUCGGCUUGUGUGUUAGUGGAAGCGUCUGGAAAGUCGCGCAGUAAAGGGUGAUAGCCCCGUACACUAAAAUGCACAGGUCGUGAGUUCGAUGAGUAGGGCGGGACACGUGACAUCCUGUCUGAAUAUGGGGGGACCAUCCUCCAAGGCUAAAUACUCCUGACUGACCGAUAGUGAACCAGUACCGUGAGGGAAAGGCGAAAAGAACCCCGGCGAGGGGAGUGAAAUAGAACCUGAAACCGUGUACGUACAAGCAGUGGGAGCACCUUCGUGGUGUGACUGCGUACCUUUUGUAUAAUGGGUCAGCGACUUAUAUUUUGUAGCAAGGUUAACCGUAUAGGGGAGCCGUAGGGAAACCGAGUCUUAACUGGGCGAAUAGUUGCAAGGUAUAGACCCGAAACCCGGUGAUCUAGCCAUGGGCAGGUUGAAGGUUGGGUAACACUAACUGGAGGACCGAACCGACUAAUGUUGAAAAAUUAGCGGAUGACUUGUGGCUGGGGGUGAAAGGCCAAUCAAACCGGGAGAUAGCUGGUUCUCCCCGAAAGCUAUUUAGGUAGCGCCUCGUGAACUCAUCUUCGGGGGUAGAGCACUGUUUCGGCUAGGGGGCCAUCCCGGCUUACCAAACCGAUGCAAACUCCGAAUACCGAAGAAUGUUAUCACGGGAGACACACGGCGGGUGCUAACGUCCGUCGUGAAGAGGGAAACAACCCAGACCGCCAGCUAAGGUCCCAAAGUCAUGGUUAAGUGGGAAACGAUGUGGGAAGGCAUAGACAGCCAGGAUGUUGGCUUAGAAGCAGCCAUCAUUUAAAGAAAGCGUAAUAGCUCACUGGUCGAGUCGGCCUGCGCGGAAGAUGUAACGGGGCUAAACCAUGCACCGAAGCUGCGGCAGCGACGCUUAGGCGUUGUUGGGUAGGGGAGCGUUCUGUAAGCCGUUGAAGGUGGCCUGUGAGGGUUGCUGGAGGUAUCAGAAGUGCGAAUGCUGACAUAAGUAACGAUAAAGCGGGUGAAAAGCCCGCUCGCCGGAAGACCAAGGGUUCCUGUCCAACGUUAAUCGGGGCAGGGUGAGUCGACCCCUAAGGCGAGGCUGAAAAGCGUAGUCGAUGGGAAACAGGUUAAUAUUCCUGUACUUGGUGUUACUGCGAAGGGGGACGGAGAAGGCUAGGCUAGCCGGGCGACGGUUGUCCCGGUUUAAGCGUGUAGGGGGUGUGACCUGGUAAAUCCGGUUACAUAUCAACCCUGAGGCGUGAUGACGAUGCACUACGGUGCAGAAGUAGUUGAUGCCCUGCUUCCAGGAAAAGCCUCUAAGCUCUAGGUAACAUUGAAUCGUACCCCAAACCGACACAGGUGGUCAGGUAGAGAAUACCAAGGCGCUUGAGAGAACUCGGGUGAAGGAACUAGGCAAAAUGGUGCCGUAACUUCGGGAGAAGGCACGCUGGCAUGUAGGUGAAGUCCUUCGCGGAUGGAGCUGAAGCCAGUCGAAGAUACCAGCUGGCUGCAACUGUUUAAUAAAAACACAGCACUGUGCAAACACGAAAGUGGACGUAUACGGUGUGACGCCUGCCCGGUGCUGGAAGGUUAAUUGAUGGGGUCAGCCGCAAGGCGAAGCUCUUGAUCGAAGCCCCAGUAAACGGCGGCCGUAACUAUAACGGUCCUAAGGUAGCGAAAUUCCUUGUCGGGUAAGUUCCGACCUGCACGAAUGGCGUAAUGAUGGCCAGGCUGUCUCCACCCGAGACUCAGUGAAAUUGAACUCGCUGUGAAGAUGCAGUGUACCCGCGGCAAGACGGAAAGACCCCGUGAACCUUUACUAUAGCUUGACACUGAACAUUGAGCCUUGAUGUGUAGGAUAGGUGGGAGGCUUUGAAGCGUGGACGCCAGUCUGCGUGGAGCCAUCCUUGAAAUACCACCCUUUAAUGUUUGAUGUUCUAACUCGGCCCCAUAAUCUGGGGUGAGGACAGUGUCUGGUGGGUAGUUUGACUGGGGCGGUCUCCUCCCAAAGAGUAACGGAGGAGCACGAAGGUUAGCUAAUCACGGUCGGACAUCGUGAGGUUAGUGCAAAGGCAUAAGCUAGCUUGACUGCGAGAGUGACGGCUCGAGCAGGUACGAAAGUAGGUCUUAGUGAUCCGGUGGUUCUGAAUGGAAGGGCCAUCGCUCAACGGAUAAAAGGUACUCCGGGGAUAACAGGCUGAUACCGCCCAAGAGUUCAUAUCGACGGCGGUGUUUGGCACCUCGAUGUCGGCUCAUCACAUCCUGGGGCUGAAGUAGGUCCCAAGGGUAUGGCUGUUCGCCAUUUAAAGUGGUACGCGAGCUGGGUUUAGAACGUCGUGAGACAGUUCGGUCCCUAUUCGCCGUGGGCGUUGGAAGAUUGAGAGGGUUGCUCCUAGUACGAGAGGACCGGAGUGAACGCACCACUGGUGUUCGGGUUGUCAUGCCAAUGGCAUUGCCCGGUAGCUAAGUGCGGAAAAGAUAAGCGCUGAAAGCAUCUAAGCGCGAAACUUGCCUCAAGAUGAGUCUUCCCUGGGCCUUUAAGGUCCCUGAAGGAACGUUUAAGACUAAGACGUUGAUAGGCUGGGUGUGUAAGUGCAGCGAUGCAUUGAGCUAACCAGUACUAAUGAUCCGUGAGGCUUAACCUU
rnacentral:rRNA from 1 species